rnacentral:rRNA from 1 species
CCUACGGGAGGCAGCAGUAGGGAAUCUUCCACAAUGGGCGAAAGCCUGAUGGAGCAACGCCGCGUGGGUGAAGAAGGUCUUCGGAUCGUAAAACCCUGUUGUUAGAGAAGAAAGUGCGUGAGAGUAACUGUUCACGUUUCGACGGUAUCUAACCAGAAAGCCACGGCUAACUACGGGCCAGCAGCCGCGGUAAUACGUAGGUGGCAAGCGUUAUCCGGAUUGAUUGGGCGUAAAGGGAACGCAGGCGGUCUUGUAAGUCUGAUGUGAAAGCCUUCGGCUUAACCGGAGUAGUGCAUUGGAAACUGGGGGACUUGAGUGCAGAAGAGGAGAGUGGAACUCCAUGUGUAGCGGUGAAAUGCGUAGAUAUAUGGAAGAACACCAGUGGCGAAGGCGGCUCUCUGGUCUGUAACUGACGCUGAGGUUCGAAAGCGUGGGUAGCAAACAGGAUUAGAUACCCCUGUAGUC